ACGUAGGGGGCAAGCGUUGUCCGGAAUGAUUGGGCGUAAAGGGCGCGUAGGCGGCCUGGUAAGUCUGGAGUGAAAGUCCUGCUUUUAAGGGGGGAUUGGCUUUGGAAACUGUGGGGCUUGAGUGAGGGAGAGGAAAGUGGAAUUCCCGGUGUAGCGGUGAAAUGCGUAGAGAUCGGGAGGAACACCAGUGGCGAAGGCGACUUACUGGACUGUAACUGACGCUGAGGCGCGAAAGUGUGGGGAGCAAACAG
rnacentral:rRNA from 1 species